rnacentral:rRNA from 1 species
AUGCUCUGCUCCUCUUCGCCGCCCCUACUCCAUCCAGCAAGCGCGCCUCGUGCGCCUCCUCCCAUCUCAAGCUCGUGCUUGACCGAGCUGCUCCCAUGGCGAUGCCGCCUGGCCCCAGCCACCAGUGCGCUACGGCAUGCCUCGCCUGAGACCGCCCUCCUCUGCUACGCCCGCACCUCACCCCUACGCCUCCCUAUGUCAUGCCCUGCUUCAGCCACCUCGCCGGUAGGUUUCGACCCUGCCUCGAGCGCCCCGCGCCGGAAGCUACUUCCCGCACCCCUGCAUCGAUCUGCCAGAGCCGCAUGUCGCCGGAUCCCAUCCUUGUCGCCUCGCCGCUGUUCCCAGUCCUCGUGGCCCAGAUCCAUACAGCCGUGGGUGACAUGGAGCCGUCCGCCUCCUGUGCAGGCUAUGUCUUCUGCCAAGACUAGUAAGGCCGCCUUGCACUACCGUCGCCCGAAGACCCGUGUACCACGAGCGCCAAGUUCGACUACCGCACGGUUAUGCCAAGUUCAUCUACGGAACGUGUAUGUCUCCAAUGUGUACCACUACGCGCGUAGAUGCCAAGACCGUUUUGGGAUUCACCAAAUACCGCUACCGAUGACUCGAACAUCUACGAAACGUGUACCGCUACCAUCACAAGAAGCGAGACCGACAAGUCCGAAGAUGCAAGUACCUCUCCGAAACAUGUACCACUACCGUCGCCGAGAUCGUGAGAACCUCUACCGUUGA